rnacentral:rRNA from 1 species
GCAAGUCGAACGGUAACAUUGGGUGCUUGCACCAGAUGACGAGUGGCGCACGGGUGCGUAACGCGUAUGCAAUCUACCUUUUACUGAAGAAUAGCCCAGAGAAAUUUGGAAUAAUCCUUCAUAAUAUCAUUUAUCAGCAUUGAUUUAUGAUUAAAGCUCCGGCGGUAAAAGAUGAGCAUGCGUCCUAUUAGUCUGUUGGUGAGGUAACGGCUCACCAAGACUACGAUAGGUAGGGGCCCUGAGAGGGGGAUCCCCCACACUGGUACUGAGACACGGACCAGACUCCUACGGGAGGCAGCAGUGAGGAAUAUUGGACAAUGGAGGCAACUCUGAUCCAGCCAUGCCGCGUGCAGGAUGACUGCCCUAUGGGUUGUAAACUGCUUUUAUAUAGAAAGAAACACUCCCACGUGUGGGGGCUUGACGGUACUAUAUGAAUAAGGAUCGGCUAACUCCGUGCCAGCAGCCGCGGUAAUACGGAGGAUCCAAGCGUUAUCCGGAAUCAUUGGGUUUAAAGGGUCCGCAGGCGGCCUGUUAAGUCAGAGGUGAAAGCCAACAGCUCAACUGUUUAACUGCCUUUGAUACUGAUAGGCUUGAGUUAUUGUGAAGUGGUUAGAAUGUGUGGUGUAGCGGUGAAAUGCUUAGAUAUCACACAGAAUACCCAUUGCGAAGGCAGAUCACUAACAAUAUACUGACGCUCAUGGACGAAAGCGUGGGGAGCGAACGGGAUUAGAUACCCCGGUAGUCCACGCCGUAAACGAUGGAUACUAACCGUUCGACCUUCGGGUUGAGUGGUCAAGCGAAAGUGAUAAGUAUCCCACCUGGGGAGUACGCUCGCAAGAGUGAAACUCAAAGGAAUUGACGGGGGCCCG